UGGGGCGAUNUUGCACAAUGGGGGAAACCCUGAUGCAGCAACGCCGCGUGAGGUAUGAAGGCCUUUGGGUUGUAAGCCUCUGUCCUAGGGGAAGAAAAAAAUGACGGUACCCGAGGAGGAAGCCCCGGCUAACUACGUGCCAGCAGCCGCGGUAAUACGUAGGGGGCAAGCGUUAUCCGGAAUUAUUGGGCGUAAAGAGUGCGUAGGUGGUCUACUAAGCGCGAGGUGAAAGGCAAUGGCUCAACCAUUGUUAGCCUUGCGAACUGGCAGACUUGAGUGCAAGAGAGGAAAGCGGAAUUCCUAGUGUAGCGGUGAAAUGCGCAGAUAUUAGGAGGAACACCGGCGGCGAAGGCGGCUUUCUGGAUUGUAACUGACACUGAGGCACGAAAGCGUGGGUAGCAAACAGGAUUAGAUACCCUGGUAGUCCACGCCGUAAACGAUGAGCACUAGGUGUCGGGACAUGAGUCUCGGUGCCGCAGUUAACGCAAUAAGUGCUCCGCCUGGGGAGUACGCACGCAAGUGUA
rnacentral:rRNA from 1 species